GGACCCCAAACAGAAAUAUAGGUCUAAUUAGCACAAAUUUUUGUUCAAUCAAUAGCGGUCAAUGUCCAGAACCCAAGUGGCUCUCUCUCAUCAAUUUCAAUUCAUAUUUGCAUACCCGAUGUUGAUGUACAAAGUUCCAAAACCCAUAUAGCUUGUGCUCCUGCUGUCGGCAGCCCUCUGUUAAAAUUAUAUGUUUCUAACUAAUGACAAUGUCAUGAGUCUUAUUUUAUUAAAAAUGAAAAGAUGGUUAGGUAGCAUGGUAACGAAUUGGGAGCUUUGAUUUGGUAU
rnacentral:lncRNA from 1 species